rnacentral:misc_RNA from 1 species
UCACCCCUCAAGCCCGGCUUGGUGUUGGACCCCGGGUCCCCUCGCGGGGACCGGUCCCAAAGAUAAUGGCAGGUUGGUCGCGACCUCGGUACACUGAGCUUCACAAGAGCACGUGCCGCGUGGGCGUCGAUCGGCCUGGUCUCCCCCCUAAAUUUUUCUUA